CCAAUAGCUGGUGUGCAGUUGUAGAUGCUCAGGGGAAGCAUAAAGGCACUUCAUUGAGGCCAAUGGAAAUAACUCUUCAAUAGCCACAAUUCCAAUUGCCUGCCCAUUGUAUGAACUGCCUUCCCAAACAUGAGGUAAGCAGACCUGUUUCUCAACUACCUCGUGGUUUAUGCUGAGAUAACAGCAUGUCAUGGAAAAUUACUUACUUGAAUUAACUGGAUUUUUGCUUCUUUUUUCACUUCAGAGACUGUCAUAGCUUAGACCCCUAGCUUUUCAGAUGUCUCUGCUGCAAAAAUUCCUCCUAAUCCUGGAGAGGCAAAGUUAUCACAUGGAAGCUCUUCUUUAGAAUUCAGUCCCCAGUGACCCCACUGUUGAAAGUAGCAUUUUUCAGCAAACUGGAAAGUGCAUUUGCUGCGUCUCACCUGUUGUCCAACAGCAGAGGGUGGGAGCAAAGGCUGGGCAACCACAUUAAGCCAGACUUCACAUUCGGUGUCAGUGUUGGAGCAGGAAGCGCCACUGAGCAGUUCAGGUUGGUACUGCAACUUCCUGAAGUUCAGAAGUUGAAAGGUAUUAACAUAGUGGUUGAUACGGGAUGUUUUU
rnacentral:lncRNA from 1 species